rnacentral:lncRNA from 1 species
GUAGCUUAACGACUGAACUCGUACCAACCCGCUUCGUAAGCUCCGACUACACUUAGAUACUGAAUUCCUACACUAGCUGCAAAAACGCUCCUGAGAGUAAGAAGCACUAUUGCGCUGCCUACACAGGCCUAGUAUCUCUAGCUCUCGGAAAACUUCAUACAUGACGGCAGCUUCAGCACACACUGCUAUCGCAUUCACCUUUGAUUAGUGCCUGAUUAGUGUAGUGUCUAUCCACGAAGACCUGAUCAGCAUCAGCCCCUGAUCGAGUUGUGAAACCACCACAUAAGCCCUUAUGCGAUUGGGCCUGCUUUUAGUAAAAAAAGAGCUACUUCCUCUCGGCUGUUGAGAUAGGUCCUGCCUGUUCGAGUCGUAAGAGAAGAGGA